AUUGAACGCUGGCGGUAUGCUUUACACAUGCAAGUCGAACGGUAACAGGGAGCUUGCUCCGCUGACGAGUGGCGAACGGGUGAGUAAUGCGUCGGAACGUGCCGAGUAGUGGGGGAUAACGCAUCGAAAGGUGUGCUAAUACCGCAUACGAACUGAGGUUGAAAGUGGGGGACCUUCGGGCCUUCCGCUAUUCGAGCGGCCGACGUCUGAUUAGCUAGUUGGUGAGGUAAAGGCUCACCAAGGCGACGAUCAGUAGCGGGUCUGAGAGGAUGAUCCGCCACACUGGGACUGAGACACGGCCCAGACUCCUACGGGAGGCAGCAGUGGGGAAUUUUGGACAAUGGGCGCAAGCCUGAUCCAGCCAUGCCGCGUGUCUGAAGAAGGCCUUCGGGUUGUAAAGGACUUUUGUCCGGGAGCAAAUGCUGGUGGCUAACAUCCACCGGAGCUGAGAGUACCGGAAGAAUAAGCACCGGCUAACUACGUGCCAGCCGCCGCAGUAACAC
rnacentral:rRNA from 1 species